rnacentral:lncRNA from 1 species
UUAUAGAAAUUGAUGGCAAGACCACAUUUGGAAUACCAUGUACAUCUCUGGUCCCCUCACCUCAAAAAGGGUAUUGUAGAGUUUAAAAAGAUUCAGGAAAGGGCAACCAAAAUGAUCAAGGAGAUGGAAAAACUGCCCUGUGAGGAGAGGUUGCAGUAUCUGGGAAUUUUUAUAGAGGAAAAAGGUGAGUAGGAGGUGACAUGACAGAAGUUUUUAAAAUUAUACAUGGAAUGGAGAAAGUGGACAGAGAAAUGUUUUCCUCCCUCUCUCUUAACACUAGAACUUGUAGACAUGCCUUGUAGAUAUCCAAUGAAGCUGAAUGUUGGGAGAGACGGGAUACAUAAAAGUCAGUACUUCUUCACACAAUGCACAGAAGGCAGUGAUGGCUUUGCAAGAGGUCUAGGCAAAUACAUGGAGGAAAAGGCCGUCCGUGGCUACUAGACAUUGUGGCUGUGCUCUGCCUCCAUGGCUGGAAGCAGUAAUACUUCUGAAUACCAGCUGCUGGAAACUGCAGGAGCAAAGAGUCCUCUUAUGUGUGGGUCCUGUUGGCAGGUUUCCUACAGACAUCUGUUUAGGUGCAUAAAAUUUCAUAGUUCACCCAUCUCCUAUUUCCCCCCCCAUCCACUGUGACUGUGUAUAUUUAAAAGAACUAGACAUGCUGCUGGAGGUUGUAGUCUUACAAGAGAAAGAAAAACCUGUAAUCUUCCAAGUUGUCAGACAAAAGACUAGAACAAAAAUUACAAAUGACAACUAUGUACAGAGCAUUUCUCUCUUGCAAGGCAACCGGUUUUCAUCCUAAGAUACUAAAAUUGCCUGAGAAUCACCUACCUCAUGGUUAUAUAAGUUUGCCUCUGAUGUAAGGCAGAAACAGAUUUUAUAAACCAAACCAAUAAAUAGCCAAUUAAUCCUUAACAAUUUAUAAGGAGCAGAAUCUUCAUUUCAUUAAAGUUACUAAUCAAUACCUAUACCCAUUCAAGAGACAGCAGUGAAUAGGGAGACUUGGGUUCCUUUCCUAACUACCAAGCAUGGAUGGUAUUUCUAUGUAAUGAAAUCCCAAAGGCAGAAAAGAUUUAGUGGAGUUGAGUGGAACCUUAGUCUUCCCAUCACUUCUCUGUUCCAAACUAUCCCCUUUAUUGCCAUGAUAGAAUAUCCCAACAGCACCUUCUUUCAUAUGUUAGUGAGUAACUAUCUACCCAUCUGAAAAUCAAAAGUGAAAUCACACAGGCUGUGGAAAUAAAGGACAAUCAGUAAAGAGAUUGGUAACUGAAUAGUUCAGGCUUGUCAGGAAAGAAAUCACAAAGGCGAAGGUGUAAAUGGGUGACAACUUUCUGGAGUUGUUAGACAUAAUUAGAAAUAUGUCAGAAAUAAAUGGAAGACCGAAAGCUACAUUCAUGUGCUAUAUUUUCCUGCAGCCCUUGGUUCAGCAACAAUUUAAGGGAUGUGGAAUUAUAAAGGAGAAAAUGGACCAAUGCUGCUGCUUUGGGAACAUCACAAUGUCUGGCCUGGGACAUUCUCCCAGUUAUAGAUCUUUCCCUUCUGCACCUAUCCACCGCAGGAAGUCAGAUUUAUUAUGACAGGCUCACAAUAGCUUACUUGCACCCUAAAAAUGAAAAUCUGAGGAAGAUAAGCUCCACCAGCUAUUAUUUUUAUAGAUCAUCAUCUAAUAAUAUAUCCAAUUUUUAUAGUCAUUAAUACUCUGACCACUUCUUGAAGACAUAAGAAGAGUUCUACUUGAUCAGACCAAAGGCCCAUCUGGUCCAGUAUCCUCUUCUCCCAGUGGCCAACCAGAUGAGUGCACUUUUCUCUGCUUUUGAUUCUCGCAAAGAAAGGUGGGCCAUAAAUUUGUUUAUAUUGUACAAAACAUGGGAACAUAGGAAGCUGCUUUAUCCUAGGUUUGGCCAUUAGUUCAUCUAGCUUAGUAUUGUCAACACUAUCUGGCAGCAGCUCAACCGGGGUUCAGGCAGGGGGAAUUCCCAGACCUACCUAGAGAUGUUGGGGUUUGAACCUGGAACCUCCUGGAUGCAAAGUGGAAGUUCUACUGUUGAGCUAUGGCCCUUCUGUAACUGAAGCUAUUGAUAGACUUCAUAUAUAUUCUUGUCAGAACUUGAAGCAGGCAUUUGAUUUCAAAUGGGACACUCUUUGUGCUUGGUAAGCUUGGAGGAAUCUGUAAAUUGGCAGAUGAAUUUGUUUGUUGAUUAGGAAUUGUGAAACCAAACAUCAAACUCUCUAAGUAUUGUUGCAUUUCCAGCUUGAUCUGUAACCUUUGCUAUAGGAAACAGGCAAAAAUGCAGGCAUCAGUGAUACUAUCUGAACAUUUCCUCAGGAUACAGCUCACAUAGAUAGGAAUAAACAUUAACAUAUAUAGUGUUUUUCUCCACAAUUGUAUACCAACUUAUGAUUUUCAGAAUUAUUUCCUUCUACAUUUUAUUUACAUUUCCCACAGUCAUUAUUGUAAAAAAUGAAUCUCAAUGCAUUUUUAAUCUAACCCUAUUUUUGGAAGACAUAUGAAAAUUGAACCAGAACAUAAAGGGAAGGUUUACCUAUAGUUGUGUUCAAGACUAAACUGGUUUUGACAAAUUUAGAGCUGCACACACAAUAUUAUUGUUAUUUAUUUUCUGUGUUAUUCUCAUUUGGGCAUCCAUGAUACAUUUGGAAACGUAGCCUCCAGUGAAGAAAAGUCAGGUUCUGUUUUUGCAAAGAGGAACUUUUUCUACAUAUAUUACUGUCUGGUCAUUUUUUCUACCUUUUCUUCUGAAAGGCAUUACAAAGUUUACAAUUCAUGCACAAUAUUGGGUUCAGGAAAGAUUACGGCUAAGGCAAAUUCCGGUUUUCAAAUAUCUGUCAGCUCAGAUUCCAUUCAUUAAUUUGAGUGAAAUUCUCACCAGUUUAUAGGCUUGCUAUAUUCAACUAGCUAGAGCUUAUUUUUUCUAAUGAUAAUGCAUAAUCUCGUCUCAUGCAUUUAACAGUAUGUGUGAGGGCUUAAACUGAGUAGGGGGGCAGUCUGAGAGGUGUGUGUCAAUGAGGGACAUCCCAGUGUCUUCCACCCUACCUGCUUUUCUUCAGGGUAUUGGGGAAUUCUAACCAUGUUCAGAUGGAUGGGGUUAGAAUCCUCAUUUCAAACAGGAGCUCUAAUUAGGGAAAAAAGGAACAAAGGAAGCUGCCUUAAACCAUUGGUCCAUCUUGCUCAAUAUUGUCUACACUGACUGGCAGAAGCUUUCCAGAGUUUCAGGCAGGAGUCUACACCUCGACAGCCCUACACCUGGAGAUGCUGAGGAUUCAACUUUCGACCUUCUGCAAGCAAAGCAGAUGCUCUACCACUGAGAUAUGGCCCUUCCCCUCGUGCAGAGUUUCUGAUCUGAGGGAAGAUUGUUACCAUAUUCAGCUGGUUAGAGCAUUUCUUCAGGCCUUCAUAGAGGCUCCAGAACAUGUGUGUCUGUACGUUGGGGGCAGGGCUUGCAUGCAUAUCCCCAUGCCCAAACAUUAAGCCUGCACAUAUAUAUUUUUUGAAUGCCCAAAGAAAGCUACAUGUUGUGGCUCCCAAGGCCCAUUUUCCCAUGCCAAGAAUUAGAACUUUCAAAUAAAAAGGUGUUGCUUCUAGUCCACAUGUUUGCAAAGCUAUCGUUGAAGAUGUGAUUGCACACAUAUUGAUUAAAGUUUGCAAAGAGUAAUGUUUCUGAAUAAUGACUAUUGUUGCACACACUUGGAGUGAUGAGAGACUUCAGGGGUUCCUGAAUUUACCCAGGGUUCAGUUUCCUUAGAGUGAAGUUCAGUGGAGAAUGUAGUGUUUUUAGGAUAUAUGGGGUUGCUUCCCGGGCACUUGUCACUAUGGCAACACACCUUUUCUUUGCCAGCUCUUUAGACAUGUAAAUGGAGGGUUUUUGCGGCCUGGCGAGGGCCAUUAACUUAACAGAUAGUGGUUUAACCACUUCUGCUGUCUUUCCAACUAUAAUCUACUAUGUUGUAGAUACAAAAUCUACAACACUGGGACCCAAGGGCAUAAUUCAAAUAAACCCACCAAUCUUAGAAAAUAUAUAAACCAUCGUAAUAUAUAUUCAGGAUCCCUAAUGUUCUUGAAAAAGGCAGGUAAACCACAUCAGAUGUACACAACUAAUGUUGUCUGGUUUUAUUGUUGUAAACUGCUGUGGUAUAUUUUUAUGAUACAGUGGUAUAUAAAUGUUUAAAUAACUAAUAAACAAACAAACAAAUAAUACCCCUGCUUUGCUGCAGUUUUCUGGCUCAUGAUAUGUCUCUGAUAUGGUCCCCAGUGCUGAACAAAUUGUUCAUCUUUGAUACUUGAUUAAAUGGCAGAAAGAUUUUUGUUGUUGUUAAUCCUUAUGUAGGGUUAUAAAUGUUUCGCAUGUUUUACUCUCUUCCUAGCAUGACGCCUUUCAAAGCUGAGUUGGGCUUCCCCUUGCUAGCAUGAUGCCCGUGCCUUUAAUGACAGGCAGGCAGAAACUGAGAAGAUGAAGUUCAUUUCAGCAUGAAAAUGAUAUGAAAGCCUUGUUAAAUUUCUGUCAGGUAGGUGUUAAAGGAGUAGCCCUCCCAGGAAAUAAUUGGCAAUUACAGAAGUCAAGGUUAACUAUAUAAAACCUGAUAUUUACCUGAUGUUAGGAGACAAAGUUUCCUCUUGCAAGCAGCAAUGGACAGCAUGACAGAGCUGCACCAUUCAAAUUAAAGGCAAAGCUACCUAGUUUGCAGUUUCCGAAAUAAUACACGGACUAAAAAAGGCAUCCUUCAAAAUUUUCACUUCUCUGAAUUUUUCAACCACUUCCACAACUAAGUAGUGUGUACAAAAAUGCAUAUACGUGAUAAACUGUGUGUUAAAAUACACAUAUUUGUGCAAAUACAGUGGUACCUUGGGUUACAGACGCUUCAGGUUACAGACUCCGCUAACCCAGAAAUAGUACCUCGGGUUAAGAACUUUGCUUCAGGAUGAGAACAGAAAUUGCGGGGGGGGGGGGCAGCGGCGCAGCAGCAGCGGGAAGCCCCAUUAGCUAAGUGGUACAGUGGUAAGAACAGUUUCAGGUUAAGAACGGACUUCCAGAACAAAUUAAGUUCUUAACCCAAGGUACCACUGUAACAUACAAAAAUACAUUACGUUAUGGGAAAUUGCUUUGCAGAAUGUGUGCAUUGGACAACACUGCAUACAAAAAUGUGUAUUUUAGAAUUAGAAUAUUCACACAAAAAUGCUGGUGAACUUCCACGAGGACUUUAAAAGAAAAAAACGAAUUGGCAAAGUGAUGUGGGAAUGUGGAAAACUGAACUUAAUAUUAGAAAAAUGAGAAACUGACAGAAACUGAAAUUGACAGAUUUCCCCAUCCCUAUCCUGGAGUAAAUAAUUUUUGUACUCUACACACUUUCAGUUUGCUUCUUCUUCUACAGGUGUGGCUUGCCAGUUUAGUCCAACAAUCACCCCUUCUGUAAUAAACCCUUAACCACAGAAUGUAAUGCAUGUCUGUUAAAGUAAGAUGUAUUGAGUUCAACUUCCAGAGUUUAGAAGUAAGCGUUGAGAGUUUAGCUCAGUCAGUAGAGCCUGAGACACUUAAUCUGAGGAUUGUGGGUUCAACCCUCACAUUGGGUGAAAGAUUCCUGUAGAUGAUCCUUGUAGUUCCUUCCACUUCUACAGUUCAAUGAUUCUAUUCCGCCUUUAUAGAUGGUUCAAUUUCAGUUUCCACACUAGGGCUUCUGCAUUCUAAUUAUUAGCACAUCUGAUCUGGUCCAAAUUUAGCCAAUGGUGAAACAAAUACAAAUAAGCCAUGGUUUUUACACCAUCACAAUAAGCGAUGGUUUUUAAAUUGUACUCUCUAAAAUGUGCUUAGUGAACAUCACAGCAACUAAAUACGUUUUUGCUUGACAUGCCAUAGCAGAAUAAGUGUUCGAUCAGUAUUUCAUAGCAUGAUACAAGAAAACAGGGAAAUGGUUUAUAUUUGUUUGAUAAGGUUAACAUUUUUUAAGAUACUCAGAAUAAUUCUCUUUAUAAGGCAUGUCAAAGUAGCAUGUCAUUAUCAUUGCAUAGUCACUCCGAACUGAUGAAUCUAAUUUUCCGUAAGACUGACCGCUCUUCUGAGAUUCCUGCGAAAGGCUGAGGGGAUGCAAAAUUAAAUUAAUAUACUGAUAUAAUAUUAGUGCAGGUAUGAAAAAACAGUGCCACCAUUAGUCUGAGUUGCACUGCUGCAUUCAUUUUUAAAUAUUGCCAAGAUGCUGUGUAGGGUAUACAUGAAAAUAUGAGUUCUCAUUAAUGACCAGGCCAAUUUAUGAGAAAAUAAAUAGAGUCUGGGCCUUGUGCCAAUGGCAUGUAUCUGAGAGGCUGUAGAAAGGGUCCUAAUGCAAGGGUUUAUGAGACUAUUUUAGGUAAGGUCUAUGUGCAAGUGCAUGUGUUAUACAUAUCAUGAUACAAAUGCCCACUUCAGUGUAUCUCAAAAUUUAAUGAUGGUCUGCAAAAUCCUCAAAGGAUGGUGAUUAUUGUAAGCCAUUGCAUAUGCUAGGAGCUCUGCAACGCCUGCCUCACAACAGGGAGGGCAAAGGGUAAGUCCUGGAGGUACUUGGCAUAUAAUUAUCUUUGUGCUUUAUUUGUGAGCUCUCUCUUCAACUGCAAACGGAAUGAAAGGACCUAGGUGAGUUGCCUCACAGAGCCUAGAUAAAAUAAAGAGCUUAGGAAAGAUUUUUUUUUUUAAUAAGCUCACUGACUUCGGCAUCCAGUAUCUAUUUCACAGUUUCUUCACUAGGGCUGCUUGUAAAAACCUCUUUCUGGGCUAGGAGCAAUAAUUCCCCCAUCCAUGAUCUGAUGAAUGAGAAGGCUGAUCUGGUCUGUACCACUGAGACCUGGGUGGGUGAGCAGGGUGAAGUUGGUUUCACCUAGCUGUGCUCACUGUUGCCUAUUUGCAGUAUAGUAACGCUGCAGAGAGCUUGCUGGGGAGACCGUGCAUUAAAAAGGGACUCAAAAAAUAACUUAAACAAGGUUUUAAUUACAAAAACAAAAACUCCUUAAACACUAAAUACAUCAACAACAAACCAGACCCAACCACCAACCCAUCCCCCAGGGUAAUGGGAGAGCUAGGUGCUGCUAUUUAUGUACUACAUCCAAUUGCCUACACAGCUUAAUCAAUGCAACUCAGCAGCACCUGCUAUGUUUCACAGCUGUAAAGCUGGGUCUCAUUAUCUUGCUCUGGGCCUUGCUCUGGCCCCUUAAAGACAUACACAUUGAGUGGAACAAUGAUGAACCUUUACAUAUUAAGAAACCAUUCAACACUCACCUGGGUACUUGGUGCAACACCAGGGCAGAAUCAAGGGAUGGAGAGGGGGAAUUGCUGUGGCCUAUAGAAAUUCUCUCUCUCUCUCUUUCUCUCUCUCUCUCCAGGCUCUCUGUCCAGUUCUAAGGUGGGGAUCUAGUGUGUGUUCCUGGCAUUGGGAACAUUGGUUCCACCACACAAGAGAGCUAAUGCAAGGGAAUUUCUCCCACUUUCCUCACACCUACACACACCACACCAUCCCCAAAUCUUCUCUUGAGUGUUGGGGGAAACCCAGAACACACUGGGGACCAGAAAGUUGGAGAACCUUCCAUUAGACAAGGAGAAAUCCUUGCGCUAGUAGAAUUUUCUCAUGAGCGCUGUGUUGAAUACAAGUCUUAAUAAUGAUUCUAAAAUGCAUCUAAGCAUGGCCGCUCAUCACCAUUAAAAAAACUGGAAUUAAUCCAAAUUUAGAUACAUCUGCUGGUGACACCUGUCAAGAACAACUGUUCUUGACGACAUUUCCUGUCCUAUUUACCUACAAGGGCAUUUGUAAUAAAACCUUCUGCAGAACCAUAAAGAAACAGUACAGCAUUCUAAUCUGGUUGGUCCAAUUCCUUCAUGUAGAAACCCAACUAACACUUUUCAACUGUUUUUUCUUUUUUUAGGUGCCUGAUAUAUUUUCCUGCUACCAACACUUAAUAGUGAAAUUUGGGUCCUGCUAUAAUCUACAAGCCCUUCUGUUUCCCAGUGAAAUUACUUAGCACACUACAGUGUGAAUUUUGUCCUAACUGCAUUUCUUUCCCCACCUACCCUCAGUCAACUCAAAUUUCAGCAGAGACAAAUUAUAAAGCUAAGAAGUAAAGGUCAAGACAAAUUGCUACAGG